rnacentral:rRNA from 2 species
UUGACCUCAAAUCGGGUGAGACUACCCGCUGAACUUAAGCAUAUCAAUAAGCGGAGGAAAAGAAACUAACAAGGAUUCCCCUAGUAACUGCGAGUGAAGCGGGAAAAGCUCAAAUUUAAAAUCUGGUGGUCUUUGGCCAUCCGAGUUGUAAUUUAGAGAAGCGUCUUCCGCGCUGGACCGUGCACAAGUCUCCUGGAAUGGAGCGUCAUAGAGGGUGAGAAUCCCGUCUUUGGCAUGGACACACCAGGGCUUUUGUGAUGCGCUCUCGAAGAGUCGAGUUGUUUGGGAAUGCAGCUCAAAAUGGGUGGUGAACUCCAUCUAAAGCUAAAUAUUGGCGAGAGACCGAUAGCGAACAAGUACCGUGAGGGAAAGAUGAAAAGCACUUUGGAAAGAGAGUGAAACAGUACGUGAAAUUGUUGAAAGGGAAACGCUUGAAGUCAGUCACGUCGACACGAGACUCAGCCUUGCCUCGGCUUGGUGUACUUCUCGGCUGACGGGUCAGCAUCAAUUUUGCCCCUUGGAUAAUGGCAAGGGAAAUGUGACACCUUUAUGGUGUGUUAUAGUCUCUCGUCGCAUGCAAGGGUUGGGAUUGAGGAACUCAGCACGCGCCCUUUGGGUGUCGGGGUCUUGCCC